UGAGGAAUUUUCUGCAAUGGGCGAAAGCCUGACAGAGCAAUACCGCGUGAGGGAAGAAGGCUUACUGAGUUGUAAACCUCGGUGCCUUAAGGAAGAAGAUCUGACGGUACUUAAGGUGGAAAGCAUCGGCUAACCCCGUGCCAGCAGCCGCGGUAAGACGGGGGAUGCAAGUGUCAUCCGGAAUCACUGGGCGUAAAGCGUCUGCAGGUGGUUUCCUAAGUCCACUGUUAAACCUUGAGGCUCAACCUCAAAUCUGCAGUGGAAACUAGGGAACUUGAGGAUAGUAGGGGUAGAGGGAAUUUCCAGUGGAGCGGUGAAAUGCGUAGACAUUGGAAAGAACACCGAUGGCGAAGGCACUCUACUGGGCUAUGACUGACACUCAGGG
rnacentral:rRNA from 1 species